rnacentral:rRNA from 1 species
GAUCCUGGCUCAGGAUGAACGCUAGCUACAGGCUUAACACAUGCAAGUCGAGGGGCAUCAGGAAGAAAGCUUGCUUUCUUUGCUGGCGACCGGCGCACGGGUGAGUAACACGUAUCCAACCUGCCCUUUACUCGGGGAUAGCCUUUCGAAAGAAAGAUUAAUACCCGAUGGCAUAAUGAUUCCGCAUGGUUUCAUUAUUAAAGGAUUCCGGUAAAGGAUGGGGAUGCGUUCCAUUAGGUNUUGGUUGUAGG